CCGGUCCAUAGUCAAAAGGCAGCAGGCAGGCAACCAGGCUCCUCCAAUGCACAGUGGCGAGAUUGGUCUCGUCACAUCUCUCCCCUUUUCCAAACAGACUAACAGGGUAUCUGACCUCCUGCCGGUCAGUGCCCUGGUUAGUCCAGCAGCCCACCCACAAAACAGAAACAGCAGUACAGCCCACCCACAAUAAAUGGUUACUACACCUGAGUAAGGGAGAACCUUG